rnacentral:rRNA from 1 species
CAGUAGCCACGGUAAUACGGGGGGGGCAAGUGUUAUUCGGAAUGACUGGGCGUAAAGGGCACGUAGGCGGUGAAAAGGGUGGAAAGUGAAAGUCGCCAAAACACUGGCGGGGUGCUUUCUUGACCAUUUCACUUGAGUGAGAUAGGGGAGAGUGGAAUUUCGUGUGGAGGGAUCAAAUCCUAAGAUAUACGAAGGAACGCCAACCGCGAAGGCAGCUCUCUGGGUCCCCACUGACGCUGGGGUGCGAAAGCAUGGGGAGCAAACAGGAUCAGAUACCCGGGUAGUCCCUGUCUCUUAUACA